rnacentral:rRNA from 1 species
UACGGAGGGUGCAAGCGUUAUCCGGAUUUACUGGGUUUAAAGGGUGCGUAGGUGGGUCUGUAAGUCAGUGGUGAAAUCUCCGGGCUUAACCCGGAAAUUGCCAUUGAUACUAUAGGUCUUGAAUCAUCUGGAGGUAAGCGGAAUAUGUCAUGUAGCGGUGAAAUGCUUAGAUAUGACAUAGAACACCAAUUGCGAAGGCAGCUUACUACGGAUGUAUUGACACUGAGGCACGAAAGCAUGGGGAGCAAACAGG